UACGGGGGGGGGCAAGCGUUGUUCGGAAUUACUGGGCGUAAAGGGCUCGUAGGCGGCCAACUAAGUCAGACGUGAAAUCCCUCGGCUUAACCGGGGAACGGCCUCUGAUACUGGCUGGCUGGAGUUCGGGAGAGGGAUGCGGAAUUCCAGGUGUAGCGGUGAAAUGCGUAGAGAUGUGGAGGAACACCGAUGGCGAAGGCAGCCUCCUGGGCCAGCACUGACGCUCAUGCACGAAAGCGUGGGGAGCAAACAGG
rnacentral:rRNA from 1 species